rnacentral:tRNA from 1 species
GGGAUUGUUGCUUAAUGGUGGAGCACUUGCCUAGAAUGUAUGAGGCACUGGGUUCAAUUCUCAGCAAUGCAU